rnacentral:rRNA from 1 species
UACGUAGGCAGCAAGCGUUGUUCGGAGUUACUGGGCGUAAAGGGUGUGUAGGCGGUUCUUUAAGUUUGCUGUGAAAAUCCUCCCGGCUUAACCGGGAGGGUGCGGUGAAUACUGAGGGACUAGAGUACGGGAGAGGAAAGUGGAAUUCCUGGAUGUGAGCGGUGGAAAUGACGUAGAAUAUCGGGAAAGGAACACCCGGUGGCGAAAGCGGCGUGCUG